UUUCCGUAGGUGAACCUGCGGAAGGAUCAUUAGAGAAUUUUAGGGCGUCUACUUGUAGGGCCUGGCCUUCACUUUCUAACUCUGUGCACUUAUUUGGCGGUAAAAGGGAAUGGUGUUUGUUUAACGACGUUUGCGAAUUCGUUAUUCUGCGGCUUACUUUAAACACUAGUCAUAGUAUGUAACGAAAUAUCGAAAAACAAAAAAACUUUCAACAACGGAUCUCUUGGCUCUC
rnacentral:misc_RNA from 1 species